rnacentral:rRNA from 1 species
UACGUAGGGUGCAAGCGUUAAUCGGAAUUACUGGGCGUAAAGCGUGCGCAGGCGGUUCGUUGUGUCGGCGGUGAAAGCCCCGGGCUUAACCUGGGAAUGGCCGUUGAAACUGGCGAACUGGAGUGUGGCAGAGGGGGGUGGAAUUCCGCGUGUAGCAGUGAAAUGCGUAGAGAUGCGGAGGAACACCGAUGGCGAAGGCAGCCCCCCUGGGCUAACACUGACGCUCAGGCACGAAAGCGUGGGGGAGCAAACAGG